rnacentral:rRNA from 1 species
AUUGAACGCUGGCGGCAGGCCUAACACAUGCAAGUCGAGCGGAUGAAGGGAGCUUGCUCCUGGAUUCAGCGGCGGACGGGUGAGUAAUGCCUAGGAAUCUGCCUGGUAGAGGGGGAUAACGUCCGGAAACGGGCGCUAAUACCGCAUACGUCCUGAGGGUGAAAGUGGGGGAUCUUCGGACCUCACGCUAUCAGAUGAGCCUAGGUCGGAUUAGCUAGUUGGUGGGGUAAAGGCCUACCAAGGCGACGAUCCGUAACUGGUCUGAGAGGAUGAUCAGUCACACUGGAACUGAGACACGGUCCAGACUCCUACGGGAGGCAGCAGUGGGGAAUAUUGGACAAUGGGCGAAAGCCUGAUCCAGCCAUGCCGCGUGUGUGAAGAAGGUCUUCGGAUUGUAAAGCACUUUAAGUUGGGAGGAAGGGCAGUAAGUUAAUACCUGGCUGUUUUGACGUUACCAACAGAAUAAGCACCGGCUAACUUCGUG